UCGCCUCUCCCCUGCCCCCCACCCCAUCAACCCUCAGUUUGUUCUGUUCCGUGUAGUGCUAUGCUAAGUUACAGUUUAAAUAAAUUUAAAUUAUUAGCGUCAAUUUUACGGUUCAUCCUUACGUUAUGCAAUGUCAGUUAGCUUCUAACUCACAUGGGGGACUGCUGAAAUUACACAACUCCUAUUUUGUAGUACAUACAUGUAUCGUUUGUCUUGCCACAACAGCAAGAAUGAUGCAUAAAACUCAUUUUUCCUGUCUCUUCUUGACAGAUGCACAUUCUGCCAAUACCGUACCUUACUGAUGAGUAAGGAGGCAGUGAAAAGAAGAGAGGUACGAGGGGCUGACCUUUCCUUCUAUCUCAUCACUCCAGCCUAAGUGGGCGAGUGACAGGCAAGUAACACGAGUGAAAAAGGUGGAGAUGGGGUUCCUCAGUCCUUUCUUUUGCUGUGUUCGAAGAAAGUUCUGGUUUGAAUGGGAAGCAGGUCCUCCUGAGGCUGUCAGUACCCGCCCCCCGGGGUACUCGGUUGCAGAUAUCACGCACCUGUAGUUGACAUUGAGCCUUGCUGCCCUUAGGCUUGUUGUGGAUCUACCAGAAUUCUGUCUUCCUGGGGCACGGCCAAUACUCUGUGUGAGUGGGGUGCGGGGGACCGUGGACACGUGUCCUGCCCAUCCCGCUCACUCCCGGACUCCAUUGCCCCAUAGGACUUCGCUUACAAAAUGAAGAUUAAGAUUUUCAGGACCCUGAUGGCAGAGUAUUUCCCUUCUCAGUGUGGGGUGCCAUGUGACUGCAUGCUCGCAAAGCUGGCCAUGCUCACCACCCCAUGCCAGUCACGGUGUUCAGAAAAAGUUGAUUUAAAUUAAGAAAUGUGUGCAGAAGGACUAUAAAUUGGUAGCAUCUCUCUAGGACAGCUGGAGCACGGGCAGAGAGCUGAGUUGGUGCUAGAGAGUGACAAUAAAUUCAGGGUUGGGAUUGCUUGGGGAGCUGGGUCCCACUCCUGUCUACGUCAUUUACUAGCUAAACUGUUAACAUUCCUCAAUGUCAAUGUCCUCACUUGGACUAUGGGGACGGUAACGCAUGGCUUCUUAAGAUGAUUAAAACUAGGUAACGUAUGUAAAUAUUUAGCCCACGGUUGGUUACUGUAUUUGGUAUAUACAGUCAUGCCUCCAACUAUAAGGGACGUAACAUGAUAGCUGUACCAGAUCCACUUCUGAUGCUUGUGUGCAUUUUCCUCCUCUGAGUAUUUCCACAGUGAAAUGCCAAGCCACAAAAGCUGUUAUCGACCCAAGACACAGAGGCCAGAAUGGGCCUUGGAUUCAUUAUCAGGAUGAGGUGGACAGGUGUCAUAUGACUCACUUCCAAAUGGACCUGAGCCACUUGGAAGACUACACUAAGAGUCUGCAGCCAGGAGACAGGAUGCAAAGAGCACUUAGCAUUUCGGAAACCGUUUGCUGUUUCCUAAGGAGAGGCUCCCUUCCUAGUCCCAACCUAGGAUGCAGAGACAAGCAUCGUUUUAAAAAGAAUUUGGCAUCGAUUGAAAAAUUUGGAAUCAAUUGAAAAAGAAGACAUAGAAGACUAACUAAUGGAGGUGAAAAUAUCCAUUUUAUUACUAGGGAGGCUUUUAUCUCUUCAGGGGUGGGAGAAAGCUUCUUAACAUUCCACUAUUGAAUUAAACCAAUUGCUUAGCCAAUCACAGGCAGAAUACUGCAGGCCUCCCCAAUGCGGCAAAGAGAGCCCUGAGAUUACUACCACAGCUGACCAAACUGAAUGGGACCCUGUGUGUUCCAAAGCUGAGCAUGGUCCAUUUCUUCUCCCAGACUUACCCAUCAGAUAACUGGGAGGCCCAGAUUGUGACUGCCAUGGAGGUUCCAGGGCAGUUGAGGGUCCCCACUAACACCAUAGAUGCAGUUGGAAGGCCACCUUCCACAACUAACAGGGCUUGAGACCCCUAGAUAGGUGUUUUCCUAUGCAUCACCUCAUUGUCACUGGAGCCUUAAGAGACAGGAGUUAUUUAUGGACAUUUAAUGAAGCAGAUUCAGAGAACUUAGCUGGUGGUUCAGGAUGAUAGGUUUGAAUACAGACCCCAGUGUCCCAUCUGAUGAACCAUGCUGCCUUGUGACUCACUGAUCUACAGAUUAUAGGACAGGUUAUAGUUAUAUUGGAGUUGAAGUAUCAAGCCAUUGUGGAAUGAAGAAGCUUAGAGAGAGGAGGUGGGACAGUCUAGGAACAAGGAAUAAAGGGUCUGGGACUCAAGUCUUAUCCAAUGCGAUAAACAUGUGCUGAAUAUGUGCCACUUUCUGUAUCAACCUCCCGAGGCCAAACUCCCUCGUCCUCACAGGUGCCCUGGGUUUGGCUCCCCACCACCCAGUGAAGUAUGUGUGGGACACAACCCAAAUCAAAGCCAACAAGUCACUGCCCAAACAUCCAGGGCCGAGGGAAAAAGAGCAACAUGUUCUCACCACACGCCACUUCAGAACCAGAACCUUAGGAAAUUCUGCUGCGUCGGGAGGCGCCUUGGGCACCCGAUGCGCGGACGACAGAUGUGUGUUCCUACUUCCAAGAAGCUUCAACCAUCCAGAGAGGGAGACGAAGUCAGCGCAGAAGCUUUGCUAGGGCAGGAGCCAGUCCAGACGGAGAGCUAACCCUGUCCCCUCCUUCAGGGCUCUGUGACCAGAGGCAAGUUAUUUAACCUUGGUGACCCACGGCCUUCUAUCUCAGGAAUGGGAAGAUGCCAUUUUCACAGGGUUGUUGUAAGGAUUCAAUGAGAUUUCCCCAAACCUCAGGUAUUGGCAUCUCCCCUUUAAAAUGUUUGCUUCAUCUCCCCGCAACGUGGGCAAUCAGUUCAUUCACAUUGCCACCCACUUUCGCUUCCUCCUAAGUGGCAAUAUCUGUGAAAUCUCGGGUUUGGUGUGUGAGUCCUAUUUUUUGGUUUCCUAAUGGACACUAAAGCAAAUGCACAUGGCCACAGGCACAUGAAAAGAUGCUCUACGUCGCUCCUCAUCAGGGAAAUACAAA